AGUGAACGCUGGCGGUAGGCCUAACACAUGCAAGUCGAACGGCAGCACAGUAAGAGCUUGCUCUUACGGGUGGCGAGUGGCGGACGGGUGAGGAAUACAUCGGAAUCUACUUUUUCGUGAGGGAUAACGUAGGGAAACUUACGCUAAUACCGCAUACGACCUACGGGUGAAAGCAGGGGAUCUUCGGACCUUGCGCGAUUGAAUGAGCCGAUGUCGGAUUAGCUAGUUGGCGGGGUAAAGGCCCACCAAGGCGACGAUCCGUAGCUGGUCUGAGAGGAUGAUCAGCCACACUGGAACUGAGACACGGUCCAGACUCCUACGGGAGGCAGCAGUGGGGAAUAUUGGACAAUGGGCGCAAGCCUGAUCCAGCCAUACCGCGUGGGUGAAGAAGGCCUUCGGGUUGUAAAGCCCUUUUGUUGGGAAAGAAAAGCAGCAGGUUAAUACCCCGCUGUUCUGGCGGUACCCAAAGAAUAAGCACCGGCUAACUUCGUG
rnacentral:rRNA from 1 species